rnacentral:rRNA from 1 species
CCCUUGUUUGAUCCUGGCUCAGAACGAACGUUGGCGGCGUGGAUUAGGCAUGCAAGUCGGGGGAAUCCCAGCAAUGGGGGAACCGGCGUAAGGGGCUGUAAGGCGUGGGUACCUACCGCGGGGUUCGGGAUAGCCGUCCGAGAGGGCGGGUAAUACCGGAUGACGUGGCGACACCAAAGAUUCAUCGCCCCGCGAGGGGCCCACGUGAUAUUAGCUAGUUGGUGGGGUAACGGCCCACCAAGGCGAAGAUGUCUAGCGGGUGUGAGAGCACGACCCGCGCCACUGGCACUGAGACACUGGCCAGACACCUACGGGUGGCUGCAGUCGAGGAUCUUCGGCAAUGGGGGCAACCCUGACCGAGCGACGCCGCGUGUGCGACGAAGGCCUUCGGGUUGUAAAGCACUGUCGAGGGUGAGAAAAGCCCGCAAGGGCGUGAUCUAACCCUGGAGGAAGCUCGGGCUAAGUUCGUGCCAGCAGCCGCGGUAAGACGAACCGAGCGAACGUUGUUCGGAAUCACUGGGCUUAAAGGGCGCGUAGGCGGGCUGCCGCGUCCGGGGUGAAAUCCUCCCGCUCAACGGGAGAACGGCCUCGGAUACGGGCGGCCUCGAGGGGGGUAGGGGCAUCUGGAACUGUGGGUGGAGCGGUGAAAUGCGUUGAUAUCCACAGGAACUCCGGUGGCGAAGGCGAGGUGCUGGACCCCAUCUGACGCUGAGGCGCGAAAGCCAGGGGAGCAAACGGGAUUAGAUACCCCGGUAGUCCUGGCCCUAAACGUUGGGUACUAGUAGUAGACCGGACAUGGGUUUACUGCCGGA